UACGUAGGGUGCAAGCGUUGUUCGGAAUUACUGGGCGUAAAGGGCUCGUAGGCGGCCAACUAAGUCAGACGUGAAAUCCCUCGGCUUAACCGGGGAACUGCGUCUGAUACUGGAUGGCUUGAGUUUGGGAGAGGGAUGCGGAAUUCCAGGUGUAGCGGUGAAAUGCGUAGAUAUCGUAAGGAAGACCAGUGGCGAAGGCGAAUCUCUGGACAGUUACUGACACUGAGGCACGAAGGCCAGGGGAGCAAACGGG
rnacentral:rRNA from 1 species